rnacentral:tRNA from 1 species
GGGGCAUUAGCUCAACUGGCAGAGCGAUAGGUUCGCAAUCUAUAGGUUGGGAGUUCGAGUCUCCUAUGCUCCA